rnacentral:rRNA from 1 species
UCAAGCGGCUGGGUGGUUAUUCCACACACACACGCACACUCCUUUUUUGGAUGUUGUGUCUUGUGUGUGGCACUCGUCGCCUUUGUGGGAAAUCCGUGUGGCACUUGUUUGGUGUUGUGGCAGACUUCGGUCUUGCCUUCACACACGUUUCACAUGUGUCAUGCCUUCCCUCAAAG